GGGUGUAUAUGUUCUAGCUAAGCGUGGUUGCCUUGUGUUGCUUCGAUGGCUUUCCAGCGGUCAUGUUUAGAUGCAAUGCAUGCUGCAUCAGGUCGAUUCAGGUGUGCAUAUGUUUCCUCGCCCCUCCCCCUAGCCUAUUGUCUCGGUCUUUACUUGCUAGAUUUGGUGGAGGUUCUGUCAGAUCUGGUGGGGGUUCUACCAGAUCUGGCGGAGGUUCUGCCAGAUCUGGCAGUUCUUCCUCCUUGUGGCUCGUCUCCGGCCAGUAGUGAGUGGGAUUCCGUCGUUUGAUUUUCCUCCCCGUUGAUUAUGUCGCUGAUUUGGUCAUUAAUUGUCAGCUCGUCUCCCGUCGCUAGUGAAUUUUGGAUUUGGUAAUUGGUCACUUAUGCUUGAAGGCUUCUUGUUUGUGAUGGUGUAGACGCCAUUUUCUGUUUCAUAUCUUCCUCAGAUUGUGCGGCAAUUCCCGAUUCAGGUCAUCGGUCGUGAUGGUUUUCAUCACCGGUACUUUCCUGUGCUCUUGCUCCCCACCAUUUGGUUCUUGUCCACCUCCUCGGCCCCUCUUCUAUGGCUUUGGUAAAGUCCGAUCUUGUAGCAUUGGAAUGGCCAUGGAUUUUGCAAGAAGUGUUGUCUUAUGGUUGGUUGUUGUUUGGUCCUUAUGGUGCUUGUCUACCUAAGUCAUUGUCGCCGUAGGUCAUCGUGGGUGUUUAGGUCGUGUUGUAGUUGACCAGUGUUCAGGCUCUUGCAUCAGAUGUUUAUCGCUUUUCAUGUUGUAUGGCAUACUUUUGCUCUACCUUAGGUUGGGUUUGGUCAUCUCUUGCUUGUGGAUCUUGAUCCUUAGGUUGUUUAGAUUCUUCCUUUUGGGUUGUGCCUCUUUGGUGUUGUAUGGUACGCGCCUUCUUUGCCAAUGUAUCAUUUUCCUCUCAUAAUGAAUUGACAUGUAGCUCUCCUGCUAGUUCAGGAAAAAUGAUUAUAUGACUUAGCUUACUUCAUUUUGGUAUCAAAAUAAAAGAAUCAUAGAAUUCUGCAGUCUUCCAUUAGAAGGAUUCUUAUAAAAUUUUUUCAUGGAACUCCCGGUCUAAAGUCUCAAAUAUGGUAUAAGCAACUCUAGAGGGUGUUAUAGCUUCAACAAGAUCUAUGUGGGCCUUGUUUGGAGCCACUCCUAUAAAUUCAUAUUUGUGUAGAAUUAGGUUGUCUAGUUUCUAACCAUAUAUUGUAAAACACAUUGACACACUCAAUAAAUUUGGAAAUUUUAACCAGGUUUCUCUUCAUAUGGCAUUAUAGCCAUUUGGCCAGGUUCCAUUGCAAAAGAUGUAACGGUACAAAGUUUAACCAAUCAAGUAGUGGCCGACCCAAGAUUGGGGCAAACAAGGGUUAUUGUCAGGUUAUUCAACGAAGCAAGCUACCUCACCUACUCAUCACUAGCGACUGCAAAGCUAUCAAGCAUUGUCAUCGUCCUUGCCCUGGCUAACCUCAAUCUCUGAGUCCGCCAUUAAAACCAAGUAAGUUCUUGCUUCAAACCACACCUUUGACAAGAUUCCCUCUCUAAAAUUACACUCAAUCUAUCACAAUUAUCUUAGCCAAGCCAAAGCAUAGCUAAGAAUUUUCCUGGGCUUAGAUCUUAAAGGUAAAUUCCAAAUUGAGUUUUCUAGAUUGCUAAAAUCAUGCGUUUUUUUAACUAUGUCAGCCUUAAUUAAACAAUAGCCAUGUUUGUUGCAAGAGAUGGGAUUAUAAUGUCAGGAGGAUGUUCACGUCGUUCCUUUGAAAGUUUCUCUUUAUAACUUGCUCGAGCUAGUGAAUGUGCAACAACAUUGCUCUCUCGGGCACAAUGUGCAAUCGUUGCCUUGCCAAAAGAACUCAACAAUGUAGGGAAAUCAUCGAUCACCAUUGACCCCGAAGCACGGCACUCUGAAGGAUCUAGGAUGGCAUGCACAAUCUCCAUUCAGUCAUAUUCUACCACCACCGAGUAAAAUCCUCAACUCAUCUACCAAGCGCAGCCCCUCGAACAACAUGAAAGCCUCCAUCAAGGCAUCCAUGGAGAACUCCUAAUGUAAACAAUAUGCAGUAAUGAACUUCUCAUUUGAGUCCCAAAGCAAAGCUCCCGCCGCACCAGACUCCGGAUGGAAGCUAGCAUCAACAUUCAGUUUUAUAGUUCGUGAAGUCGGUCCAAUCCACUUCAUUUGCCUCGUUGGUUCCUUUACCUAUGUUGCUAACGCAUUCACCACAAUCCCCUUGAUGCUUAAAGCCUAUCGUACAGGGGGCAUUUUUACCUCAUGGGUGAUUUGCAACAAUCCCACUAGAUGUACCAUCAUGCCACCAUGAUACUAUGAAUUACAUUACAAUUGGGAUGCCCGUUCCUGCUGGGAGCUCAACACAUACCAACUCUUCAAGGAUCAUUCCCCAGAUAGCUCUUGAACAACAACUGAUUCAGUAUAGUCCCUAAGACCAGGUUCCUCCCACACCUCCGUAGCUCUGUCACAAAUAAAAACCAUGUGCCAGAGAUCCUCCCGAUCAGUACAACAGACUGUAUAGGCAACUGGAGUUUAAUACGUUGAUUCGCCAACGUCCAACACCACGGAACUAUGUCGCGCAAAACCCUUCAGUUGAAAAUAUGAACUUUCGAGGAUACAUGUCUUCCCCAGAAAAACUUCCAAACCAGAUGUGGACCCAUCCUUCCUUCUCCCACAUUAAGUAUGGCCCUCGAUCUAUAUUUUUUUCCUCCAAGCCACAUGGUGAAGCAUCUUGACUUGGUAAAUUGCCAUGCAAUAAAGUUUGAUUGACCAUGUGAAGGUAGAGGGAUUUGAAGAAUUAUCACAACGUCAACUGGCCAAAAUUAUCCUUGAUCAUUUGCUCAUCCUAGUUCCCUAAAAUUGGAUCAAUUAAGUCAUGAAUUGUCUGUAAUAAACACCGCCCCCAUGAGUAAUUAUCUUGUGAUCAUGGCUCAUUGGGGUCCAUCGUCCUUCCAAAAAUUAAUCGUCGCACCAUCUCGAAGUCGCCAUUAGCUCCAUGCUUAAGAGUUUUCAAACCAAAUAGAAUGCUCCGCCAUGUGUAUGACGAUUCGUUCUUCAACAUAGCCUUACAUAAGUCCUAAUCCAGGUAAUACUUAGCUUGAAGACCUGAGAACAUGGUGAUUAUGGUUCAAACAAUAAUCUCCAACACUGUUUUGCUAGCAUUGCUUUUUUGAAACAAUGUAAAUCUUCAAACCCCAUGCCACCUUUAUUUUUUGGAACACACAUUUUCCACCCCGCCUUCCAAUGCAGUUUUCGUUUACCUUGAGUGCCACCCCCACCAGAAUCUAGCAAUAGCAUCACACACAACCUGACAUGUAUUCUUCAAGAUAUUAAAAACAGUUAGCAUAGACUAGGAUUGCCUAUGCAACUACCUUCAGAAGUAUCUCUUUCCAACUAAAAGAUAACAUCCCCCCCCCACAGCGAAGAGAUAACAUCUUUGAUAGCCAACCAUUGUUAAGUGCCCAGACUCUAUCAAAAAGAUGUUGGAAGCAAUCACUACGGUCAAAAUGGUGGUAAUCUCAAAUACUUAUCAGUCAAUGCCUCUGAGCCAGUGUCAAGCUAUGCACAUACCUCAUCUCUUAGGGCUGGAAAAAAACAAUGGUCUUUGCAUUGUGGACCAACUACCCAAAGCUUGCACGAUACAUAUCUAGAGCAUUCGGGAGUGUCGUGGCAUUCGACGCAUCCGCUCUCAUCAAGAUUAGGAAGUCAUAAGAAAAUAACAAGCGUGAAAUUGAUGGUGCACUAUGGCACACCCUAAGCCCUUGGAUACCGCCAAUCUCCUCCUCAUGUGCUAGAAAACUAAAUAAAACCCUCACCACAAAAUCAAGAACAGGCAAGGCGACAGGGGAUCCCCUUGCCUAAGCCCCCUCAUAGGGGUAAAUAUAUAUGUUUUAUUUGAAUUGAACUAAACCCUGUAAUGAGCCCAUCAUACUCUUCAAUGAUCAUCGGCUGGUGCCUGAACAACCACUGUCCUCAUGCAUUGCAAUAUUCCACUUACCAAAGCAUAGAAACUCAGUUAUGAUUGUGUAGUCAUCCAAGGGCCUGAAUUUGACCUGCUUUGAGCACCCCCAGCCACUUGCAAGGCGGUGAAAAGUAUCGUAUGGCUGAAGGAAGCUCAGACACAAACCCUAAGAAUCAUCGCCCAAAGCAUCUCACAUGUGGGCGUUCCGAUUAGUCCCAAGAGAUCCACCACCUCCCUUUCCUCUUCCGUGAUCUCCAUCCUUUGGAGAAGAGCAUCAUCUUUGUUGCUGGGUUAGGUCCUAUGUUCUUUGUCGAGGCUUCCGCUAUCCCGCUACCCGUGAAUUCGAUGUUGCCGAUAGAGAUGCAGCCAAGGUGACGCACACUCGCCGUGUGCGAAGAUUUUCUAACCCUAGGGCACUACUCCGACAUAGGAGAGGGCGGGAUGUCCUUCCCUAGAUUGGCUAUGGUGGAUUCCUGCAAGGUCGCCACAAUGCAUGAGAAACCUAGGAUGCUAGGGGGGCCAGCCAUGAUCAUCACCUCCGCCACGGGAUUGAACUUGCAAUCGUGCAAUUCUAUUAUCGGGAUUGUUAAAUCUCAAUCCAUGCUAUAUUCUCGAGAUAUUACAUGGAGAUCCAUGCAAAAAUUUCUUUGAAUUUCUCUCUCUUUCUUUUUUAUAUCUUCUGUCACUUGACUGAGACUUGGUUAAAUCUCAAUUGAGUUGACUCCACACCCUUCUAAAUAUUUGCCGCUCCUAACCGUUCACGCAACCUCCGCGGAUGCUCUAAACUAAUCUAAAAAUGUUCUAAACUGCUUAACGUCGCACUUAUACAGUAGAAAAGAAAAUCAGAAUACCACAAACCAUUCAGACUUCAAUACGACGAAAACCACCAGGGGUAAGGUACUAAGGUAACACUGCUACUGCUGCUAGUAUAAACUGGGGCAACCAUUCCUCCCAAUAAUCAGCCAUGCAAUUGCAUCUUUAGCUACAAAAUUACACAUGUGACUGCAUGCUUCGACUUCCUAGCUACAUGUAACGGCACGGUUCCAACUCCAAAAAAAAAAAGUAUCCACGGUUUUGCGGAAUUUCCUACUGUUGCGGCGGUCCUCCCGCGUUUUCCUCCUCCACGCCCUCCGGCGCGCGCGCGGCCACCGCCGCCGACACCGCGGCGUCGUACCCGUCCGCCGAUGCCGCGGCGAACUCGGCCAUGGCGCCGGUGACGGCUCCCAAGCCGGCGCACAGCACGCGCCCCGCCAUGCCCUCCAUGCCCGCGGCAGCUCCCGAGCACACCGACCCGACGCCGGCCACGAAGAAGUCCAGCCCGUCCAUCACCCGCGCCUCCGACGCCGCUUCGACGGCGAGCCCCCACUCCAUGCACACUAGGAAUGCCGGCGGCACCGUGCGCGGCGUGGCGGCGUCCGCGCCAAUGCCCGGCGGCCAGGGCGCGCGUGUACGCGCGCUGCGCCGACAGCCAGGCGUCCAGGGCUCCGCGCCAGGCUCGCACCUCGCACUCGAGCGCGACGGCGGCGGGAGGCGGCGUCGUCGCCUCCGGAGGACCGAGAGCCACGGUGGUCGCCGCCGAUGCGCGGUGUUGGAGAAAGAGAAGCUUGGCGUCGUCGAUGGUCCGCUUCUGAGCCUCGUGGCGUUCAGCCAUGGCUCGCCACAUCCGCGACAGUCUGCACAAUGCAACAACAGCUCUGUUAUUAUCGAAGGCUACGAUCAGGCAAGAUCCCUUAAAUUCACGUGCAUUCCUACAUCAGCAUGCCUACUAUGAUCAAUAACCCAACAGCUAUUCACCCUUUGUUUGCUGAAAAUUUUAGCCAUAUCAUAUCAUCAGUAAAUUCCAAGUAUAGGAACUGUGGCAUUUUAAGUCGUGACUGCCUGGCUAGCCAUCAUCUACUCUUACUUGAUUGGAUUAUGCCCAUUGUUUGACCAAUUAACAUAUUAUUUAUGAAAUGUUGGCUUAUAAAAAUGGAGGGAGUACUAAAACUUCUCAAUGGUGAGCAGAAGCAUACCCUUGGAUAAGCUCCAUAAGUUGAGGGUGCAACUCCUCGUCUCUUAGAACUUCAAUUCUUCUUGAUAUUGACUGAACAGUUUGUAUUGACACCUUCAUCCGAGUUUGUAAGCUUCUCAACGCUGAACGAGUCUUAUCGACAGAAGAAGGCUCCUCCCCUUUCACAUCCUGGUUCCGCAAAUGUGUCAUCCUCUUCUCAUACUCAAGUCUUAACCGCUCACCCACCUACAAGUGACAAACGCAAGCAUGACUUCCGCUAGUCGGUUCUACUGACCUGUUGGUAUAGGUUCGUGACGGUGACAAAGACCAUACCUUUACUUCUUUGUACAAUUUCUUCUCCCAUGUAUACAGUCUAUCCAGAGUGGAGUGAUGACUUCCAGACAUUGUGCUGCAAGAUUCUUCAGAGUAACAGCUGCUUGUAUCAUUGUCAAAAAGAUCAUCUAUUGAGCCAGAGGAAGCAAGAAGGAAGCGGGAAGAUGAUGAUCGAAUUGAUGCAGAUCGCAAAAGUGCGACUGGGUUUAGCAUCUUUACUGCAUUAAAAAAAUCAUGAGGAAGUUCAGCGACUGAAAUCUGAAACAUUUUAAAUAAUAACUUCAGUAUUGGUUUAUAAAAGUGGUACCAGAGAGAUCAUUUGAGGUUGAGUAUUGAGCUCGACUUGCCUCCAGCAUCCGUGAGACUUCCUGAGCAGCGCUACAGAUCCCCAAAAACUGACUGUCAAUAUCUUUCAUAGCCUCGACCAAACUCGUUGGCCUUCGGUUCAGAUAAACAGUGAAACCUGGGGUUUCUUCUGCAUUUGCUACUUUGUUCCUCAUUAGUUCUUUCUUAUGUGCCUUGAUCUCAUGAUCUACUGCAUUUCGGGGCUCGGAUGAGCCUGCGCAUUGAACACCUUUGGAUUGAUGUCCCUUUUGUUCUUGCUUGACAUUGACUUCAGAUUUUCCUGGGCGAGCCUCGUUAGAAGCCAUACAUCUUUGGUCAUCUGAAUGCUCACAUUCAUCAGAUUCUUCUUCUUCAUCAUCAUCCUCAUCAGAUUCUUCUUCAUCAUCAUCAUCCUCCCCCUCCCCCUCCCCCUCUUUGUUGUGCAUUUGUUCAUGUUUUUGACAUUCAUCGUCUUCCUCUUCGAGUUCUGGGAUUCCUUCCUCCUCUCUUACCCGCUGUAACCGUGCCAAUUCAUCGUCAGUGACCACAUUGUCAUAGCUACUCCGAGGGCGCGGGUACGGAUAGCUGUCCAGCGACGAGAAUGGAUUCCAGAAGGAGUCCCACGGUGAUGAUUCUGGUUCCUGGGGUGAUGAGGGUGGGUAGUUUGGCCUGUCAUGAGAUGCGUAAAAAGAUGUCCUCCUUGGAUCCUGGGGUGGAGCAGGUGGAUAGCUUUGCCUGUCAUAAGGUGGCGUGUAAUAAGAGGAAUUCCUCACUGGCUCCUGGGGUGAUGGAGGUACGUAGUUUGGCUUCUCAUAAGGUGGCAUGUAAUAAGAAUUCCUCACUGGCUCCUGGGGUGAUGGAGCAUAAGGUGGCAUGUAAUAAGAAGAAUUCUUCACUGGAUCCUGGGGUGAUGAAGGUACGUAGUUUGGCCUUUCAUAAGGUGGCAUGUAAUGAGCAUUCCUCACUGGUUCCUGCGGUGAUGGAGCUACAUAGCUUGGCCUGUCAUAAGGUGGCAUGUAAUAAGCAUUCCUCACUGGUUCCUGGGGUGAUGGAGCUACAUAGCUUGGCCUGUCAUAAGGUGUAUAGUGAGAAGAUGGCCUCAUCGGUGAGGAAUUGGCUGGGAAGAAUCUAUCUGUGCCACCAUAGCCAUCCACAGGGUAAUGUGACUCAACACGGAUUGUUUCCACGGGCCGUGGAGCCUCUUCAACUGACACUGAUGGGUUUGGUCCUGACAUCAAGUACUUCGCGACAUGAACAGUCCUCUUCUCAUACGAACCAUAAGGAAGGCCGAGCAUCUCUGGCUUCUGUUGCUUGACAGGAGAAAUGAAUGGGUCAAAAAUGAGCUCGUGCCGAUCAUCUCCAGCAACGAACCGCUGCAGGGCCAUCGAGACACAUUUCAUGGAUUCGAUGUAGGCGAUGUGAGAGGACGCAAAACGGUUGCGCUGAUCCAGUGCCUGCUUGAUGAAGUCCCUCCUGUCCCGGCACAUCUUGACAGCCUCCUCAUCUUCCAAUCGGGAAGCAGCACAUCCCAUGUCUCCAGAGCCUUGUGUUUUCAGGAAUAUGUCAUGCCCGGGCCAGAACUUCGGAGUCUUAACAUGUCAAAACACAAAAAAGGAAUGCGACAGGUAAGUUUCAGCUCCAAUAAACCAAGUAUCAUGUGUACGUGCAGAAAUUACCUGAUACUGUACAGUGGUCAAUUGUUGGCAACCUGUGCAUUGCAGCUCAAGCCAAUGAAUUGGAAGAUGAUUCGUACCAACCUACAAUCAGGCAAAUUUCAGACAUUUCAGAAGCGAAUUCCAUACAUUUAUUCAGUAGCAAAUUCCAAACAUUUCAGAAGCAUGAGCGAUCAAAUUGUGUAUCAAAAGGGAACUCAGAGACAGGCUAAUCACCAGCAACAGGCAAUCAAUCAGGAGUGUUGAGAUUGACUACUUGGGAUCAAACAUGAAAUGCAGCUACUUCUCACAAGACCCAAAAAAUUCUCUUCUCAAAAGACAGCGAGAGCUACAACACCACAGAAAGACGUCCCUUUGGAAAUGAAAUACCCCACUGACAAAACAUACCCUACACAUUUUUCGGUUAGCUAGCAGCGACAUUCCUUCCUCCUAAACGAGGGCUAAAAAAGCAAGAAAGUUAGGAAUGUAACCCUUGGCCCAGCAAGACAUAAACGGUCCUACUGCCUACUUGCGUAAUCAUGGCCACGGGAAACUGGAAUUCAGUCCAGUACACUGAAGAUAUAGGGAUUCAGUUCAGUAAACUGGAAUUCAGUUCAGUACACUGAAGGUAACAGAGUCAGGACGGUGCUGGGUAAAACUAAUGAAACAUUGGAAUUCGAAACAGCAUUUUUUUCGUGCAGUGAAAUCAGCACAGACAACAAUCUUUUACCGUCCACAAAUCACAAGCAGCCAGAAAAACACAAUGCAAAGAUAUCUUGAAGGUGAAAUGAGGGGUCAGCCUCCGAAGAAGUGCCCAACUGUACACCGCAGGCAAACAGAAGUGUUGGCCCUGGAUGGACUAAAUUCCCACAGCUCCAUGGUGGGCUGAUUUUCCGGUGCUUAAGCAGUUGGCAACAACAACAACAACAACAACAAAGCCUUUAGUCCCAAACAAGUUGGGGUAGGCUAGAGGUGAAACCCAUAAGAUCUCGCAACCAACUCAUGGCUCUGGCACAUGGAUAGCAAGCUUCCACGCACCCCUGUCCAUAGCUAGCUCUUUGUCGAUACUCCAAUCCUUCAGGUCUCUCUUAACGGACUCCUCCCAUGUCAAAAUCGGUCGACCCCGCCCUCUCUUGACAUUCUCCGCACGCUUUAGCCGUCCGCUAUGCACUGGAGCUUCUGGAGGCCUGCGCUGAAUAUGCCCAAACCAUCUCAAACGAUGGUGGACAAGCUUCUCCUCAAUUGGUGCUACCCCAACUCUAUCUCGUAUAUCAUCAUUCCGGACUAAAGGUUAAAAAAAUGCUGUAACAAGAAGAAAAUUACAAGAAAGCUCUGAAGAUGAUGAUGGGUAAUAAUAACACUUGUCUCUUGGUAAACUGCCCACAAGGGAAAGAGUACUACUAGUAGUUCCAAUCCCCCAACCAAAUGCUCAAUCGCUCUUGCCAACCUGCGAGUGGAACCACGGAAGGGAAUGGAAAAAUUAAGGAUUUGCUGGACAGGACAAAGCACAGGCGCAUCAGUGCUCGUUGCAUCUUGCUUAACCAGGGCACGGAACAGAUGGAUAAAUUACGGACCCCAACCAAAAACACAACGCUUGCAGAGGCAAGGCAGUUCUCGCUCUGAAACUUUCAGAACCAGAUGAAGCAAGGAGAAUUGAAGGGAAAAUAAAAGUAAAAAACAGGGAAGUGCAUUAGACUACCUCCGUUAUCCGCUACAGAACCUAAAGAAACUAGAACACGGCAUCUGAUUCUGAUGCAGGAGGGGAAGGCGGAGACGACGAAAUCUCGCGUAGAAAAGAAGAGAACAUCAAAACUGUCGCAGUAAAAAAAAGAAGAGAACAGAGCACCACAGCUGUAGCAGCAAUAACCAAACAAGAAACGGCCGCUGAAUUCCCGUCUGGCCACAUUAAAGAGCAGGCGAAAUAAAAAUCGCAUGGAAAAAGAUCAGGCGCACAGUACAGGAACACAUCAUUCUGAAGUGUGGGUGAAGCAAAGACAGGGGAAAACAGAGAGAGGGAUGCAGAGGGAGGGGGAGAGAGAGGAAACCAGGGGCAUACGCAUACUACUAGAUAGAUACGUACAUGUUCUUGGAGCGCUCAAAGAGGGGAAUCACGAAAUUCUCUCUCUAGGGACGAAGAACAUCUCUCUCUCUCUCUCGAGCACACAAACACGCACGCAGCACUUUCUCUCUCUACUUUGGCCCCAGGACAGGAGAAACCUCUCAUCCAACCGCAUCAAUGGCCAACAUUAAACAAAACAAAAGGGAAGGUGGGGACAAAAGGAGGGGCAGGGCAAUGCGAACCUACACAAGAAGAGAUUAAAUAUAGGAUCAGGUGAGGGAGGUCUAUACCUGUUACCUGGGAUUGAGGUUGAAGGAGGACCUUCUCAAACCCCUUGGGUGGGUGUGUACAAGAACAACAAGGGGUCGAAGGAAGAUUUGUGGGGAGGGAGAGAGAGAGAGAGAGGAGUGUGGGUGGCAGUGGCAGUGGCAGAGGGGGGAAGAGAGAGAAGAGAGGCGAGGGGAGGGGCAACAACGGUCAAAAGACUCCNNNNNNNNNNNNNNNNNNNNNNNNNNNNNNNNNNNNNNNNNNNNNNNNNNNNNNNNNNNNNNNNNNNNNNNNNNNNNNNNNNNNNNNNNNNNNNNNNNNNNNNNNNNNNNNNNNNNNNNNNNNNNNNNNNNNNNNNNNNNNNNNNNNNNNNNNNNNNNNNNNNNNNNNNNNNNNNNNNNNNNNNNNNNNNNNNNNNNNNNNNNNNNNNNNNNNNNNNNNNNNNNNNNNNNNNNNNNNNNNNNNNNNNNNNNNNNNNNNNNNNNNNNNNNNNNNNNNNNNNNNNNNNNNNNNNNNNNNNNNNNNNNNNNNNNNNNNNNNNNNNNNNNNNNNNNNNNNNNNNNNNNNNNNNNNNNNNNNNNNNNNNNNNNNNNNNNNNNNNNNNNNNNNNNNNNNNNNNNNNNNNNNNNNNNNNNNNNNNNNNNNNNNNNNGAAGGAGGAGGGGAGAGAAAAGCGGGGGCGGCGGGUGGAUGAAUUGGGGUAUGACCCUACGCUUGCUGUUAUUUCCCAAUAAUUCCCUACUCAUUCAUUUUCCUCUUUUUUUAGCCCUACUGCUCAUUUAUUCUCUGCCAUUUUAUGGAAAAAUUCGGGCUCAGUAGGUUGGUUUGUGCACUUGAGGAAACUUCCGGCUCGGAGAACUGUCUUUUCUCGCGCAGGAAUUUUCACAUUUUUGUUACUUGUUACAGAGAGAGGGGGGUGGGGGUCGGGGGUGUUUUUUUUUACUGAAAACUUGUGACGAGUGCGAAAACUCAUGGCGUUUGGAGGCAUGCAAUGCGACAGCACCUGUGGCGCUACGCAAAUUAGGAACUGAAGUAUGACCGUGACGAUGGGUUUUGGAUCCUUGCGAGGGAGUGGGGGUAUCCGGAUACCCCUGCGAUAUCUCCAGGCUUCAAUUCAAUGCAUUAGUGGGAGAUUUGGUGUCAUGGGUGUAGGAAAUUGGGUCGGGCAUGCAAAUUAAAUUCCUGCAAAUCGAAGAGUUCUGUAUUCAUGCAAAUUAAAUUCUUGCGAAUCGAAAAGUUCUAUGAUUCAUGCAAAUUAAAUUCUUGCGAAUCAAAGAGCUCUAUGAUUCAUGCAAAUUAAAUUCUUGCGAAUCAAAGAGUACCAUGUUUUUUCCCCUCAGUACCAUGUUUUGGUUCAUGCCAAACAAACGAAGCUUCUCGCUUAAGUAUUAGUGUAGUAGUAUAUGGUGGUCAAGUCGGUUCAUGCAUGCAUGCCGCUCUGCACGCCUCACGCUUCUCACGUUCCCUAGCUAACCAGCCGAGGAUUCAGUUGUGGUUGUGCCAACAAAACAAAAAAAAACUCACAAGCGCCAUCUUUUUUUUUUGAGAAAACUCACAAACGCCAUCUAAGAGCAUCUACAACCGGACUCAACAAAUCCGCCCCCUAUAUGCAUGUGGGUGCGUCCGCCGGCCCCUCGUAUGUUGCAUCGCACAUCCAUAUACCUCAAAUUCCGAUCCUCGCACGUCGAUCAUGCGAUACAAAUUGUUCGAAUUCAAAAGUUUAAAACAAAGCAAAUUUGUAGUUCAACAAAGCGGACAUGUCAAAAUGAAAUCAAUAUCCGUGACGGAUGGCCUCGAAUCACUGGGCGAGAGUCUGCUCCGAGCGGAAUGUGUCGUGCUGAAGGCGGAAUGCGUCCUGCUCGUCUACUCCGCCUACAUCCGUGCCUCAGCCGCCCUCGCUGCCUCGUACUCUCUAUGUUCGUUGAUCUCCUUCUUGUCCGCAAGCCACUCCUUCGUAUGCUCAUCCAAGAGGGUUUCGUCCGCCAACAUAAUUCUCGCAUCCUCCGCGUCUCCUGCAAGUUGCAACCUCUCCUUCUUAAGCUCUAUGUCACCAAAUGUCUUGGCCUUCUCGAGUUCCCAUUUGAUGCCGCGUGUUGCUUCUCCAACUCGAUCUUCUCCCUUUCAAUAUUGAGUUUCUUCUCCGCCCUAUUUCGGUCCCACUCCAUUCUUUCCUUUUGCGCACCCAACAUGAGUUUGUACCUCUCCUCCUUGUUCUUCCUCGCCAAAAAAAUGCCCAACCAUGUGGACGACAUUUUUGUAGCCGCGACGUUAUGGGAGGCACGUGCCUUCUCUCACUUGUUUCCCAUGACUUGGCAGUUAUCCUUUGGCACGUUGGCUUUUUCAUUCGUCACGACAACAUCGUCAUUUCAUCGUCCAACCAAAUUGAUUGGUUCAUGGUUGGAGCUGCUGGUGCCCGUGCUCAUCUGCGCCCAAACGAGCUGCGGCGCGUCACAUACGUCGACCAGCGGCAUCUGCGUGGGCGGAAAGCUCUUCGGGGUGGGCCAGUGGGCCAUCGAAUCCUCCUCUGUCCCAAUGGGGGCGGAAGGCAUAAUCUGCGUCGGCGCUCGGAUGGAAGGGGUUGGGGAUACGGGCGCGGCGGGGGAGACAGCUGCUCCACCAUGUCCGAACCUCCCUGCGUCGCUGCCUCCGUCUCUCGUUUCGGCGUCGUCGCAACUUUCGGGCAACGUUCUCCGCCUUGCAAGUCAUAGCUGACAAAGGGACCCCGCCGACGGACGAGGCGGACCGUGUCUCCGUCGCGGCUGUCUGGGUCGGGCUGGACAGCUUGGACGACAUCUCCGACGAUGGACCGGGACCGGUGGUGAGGAUUGGGAGCAAGGGUGAAGGACGACGAGGCUCCGAGCGCGGGAAAGGUUGGAGGGCGGUUGGAGGAGGAGAAAGGGUUUGAUGGAUUUGAUGCAAUUUGCGGUGGAGUCAAGCUGUCGGAUCCGACGCGACGGGUAGGCCCGGACGGUCCAUAUCCGCCCAAUAUUUAGACUAGAUAUGAGAGGUGCCGGUCAGUCCGAACGUUUGAUGCUCAUUUAAAGAACUUAUCUGGAUGAAAAAAUCAUGACCGAUCGAUGACCCGACGGCCCUUCCAAAUGUGUAAAACAUGUAAAACGGGUUUGCGGGCGCCCAGCUGUAGAUGCUGUAAAGCUCUAACAAACACUUCGAAGUGCAAACCAAAAGAAACCGGCCUGAUCAUCUCCUCCUGCACGUCAAUGGAUUAUUCUGACCAGGGAAAGAAAAUAAAGUAAUUAAUGGAUUAUUCUGACCAGGGAGUAGUAGCACUGCAUGUGCCACCUGGCAGCCAUGCAUGCAUACGCAUGCGUAAGUACCCCACACGCAAUUUUGGCCUUGGAAAAAAUAAAUUAAAUUACGGUGGAAAAGCAAGACCGACCCAAGAGAAUAGAAUAGGAUGCCCAUCUUUCUUUUGUGGCUUACUCAAUUUCAGAUGAAGGUUCGUUUAUGCCCAUGCACUAACUGGUGGCUUGGCUUGCACCAGUAUUUUUUUUUCAGCAUAUAAAGGAAUAAUAAUCUUCUAGUCCAUGUGUUCGUUGUUCUACCAUCUACUACACCACGGUGCAUCUAUCUAACUAUGCUUUGUAGCAAUAACACCGAAAGUAAGAAAAGAAUAUCACGCCCUCUCCACGUACACGGUAUCAGCUUAUCAGGGCGACGGCGACGACAAGAAGGUUCCGUACGUGCACUCAUGGUUAAAAACGAAGUUUGUUUUCUCAGCCGGAACGCUUGCGACAUGACACGACACAUGAUAUUUCUUCUGCCAAAGAAGAACAUUUCCUCUCUUUUUUCAACCCCCAAACCGGCUUGGAAAGUCUCUUCCAUCGUAUGGACGGGGACGGAGAUGGAGAAGGAGAAGAGCGUGCAUGGGAAUUUUCAAAAAAGAUAAAGCACGGUUUGUUAGCAUGCAUCUGCAUGCCUGUCGCAGAAGAGCAACCAAGAAAAGCAAAAGAGGUGAAAGAUUCCUCCGCAUGUCCUCGCUCCUUCCGAGCCUUUAUCUUGCCCUAGCAUGCUUUUAGAUUGGUGCCUGCCCGUUCGUCCAAAACCCAUGCCCCUGCCCAUAGGUCGACAAGCAAACUGUGAUCCUUAUUUGUCUUUUACUAUAAUCUUUUUCCCAAAAGGAAACUUGGCAAGAUGAAAAUGCUGCUGGCUGAAAGAUGGCCUUACUUUUCACCCGGUUUUCUCACUCAAAGACAGCCUUUCCGAUCAGUUAUUAUUAUCUCCCAUGAUCAUUACAGAACUGUGCAUGCAGAUGAAUGGCCAUGCGUCUUCAGAUAGUAGUAAUAUAUAGAUCAUCCCAGCGCAAAUUGAGAACGCAAGAAACAGAACAAAUAUAGUCUUUCAGAACUGUCCGUCUAAUAACUCUGAAGCUGGAAUUUUUAGGUGGUUAUUAACUGAAGAGACGCCGCUAUACAUGGAAAUGCCACAAAACGUGCAUGCUAAGCCAGACAAACAAGGUCUUUACCUGGCAUGAGAACCUUUUAUUUUAAUAUGUUUGUGCCCAUUUCUUGCUUGAAAAGAAAAGAGAACAAAUAAGACAAUAUAACAGUUCUUCAUCUCACACCAGCACUUGGCUAGAUCACUCUGGCCAGUUUAGAGUAGAAGCUGAGAAAUGACAAGCGCAACAAGCCACAGCAAGCUUUCCCCAAAGUCGCGUGGAUCGCCCGAACAAGAAGACAUGAUUGCCAGAAACAUGGCCAAAUGUGUCCUCCCAUCUAGUUAACUAAUCGAUUUACUGCCGCUAGAUCCACAGCACAACAGGGCAGAACCAACCCUUAAUCAAAUGCCCAGCCCCGAGGACGCAGCAAGAAUCUCAGCCUGCUCUUUCCAUCAGUGCAACGUGGGCCAAUCCAUCACAGUUGAAAUAUAAAAAGAGGAAAAGAAAGACUGGAAUUAUCUGCGAGGGCAACUAGUAGGAGUGGUAGUACUAAACUCCACCCGGCAGUGCAGUGUCCAAUCCGCACACAUGCGCCCCUGCUGUAGCCUCCUCGGCCCGCCGGUCAAUUUGCCAUCCAUUGGAUCGGGCUCGCUCGCCUUUUCCCCUAACAGCGGCUUUCGCGUUGAAAAUGCAGUUUACCAGUGGGUGCAGUACUGUACUGGGCUGGACUGGGCAUGCAUUUUUUGUGAGAUCGGCUGGGGUAAAUGAUCAAGAAAACCCUGCAGAAGAGAAAAGCUGACGGUAGACUAUUUUCUACUCCCCCCAUCAGUGAGACCAGGGCUCGCACCUGCACGGGUUUAUGAUGGCCUUGUGUUGGCACUGUGCCUCCGGCGAGUAGAGUAGAUCUGCUGCUCAUGUUAUACUGCGUGUACUGUUGCACACUGUAUCUGUGUGUGUCGUACUGGCCUAGUUGGACUGCAAGCUGGACUGACUGGUGCACGCACAAGUCACUCACUGCCAGCCAGCCAGCCAGGAAGUCCAAGGCUUCAGGUACGGCUGCCCGUGGCAUGGCUACAAGGACUACGAUCCAAAAUGAGUUCAUCUGUACUUCUCCACUCCAUGUCCUGUAUUUGGUUUACUCCUUUUUUCUCAUGCAUGUUACCUACCAAAACGGUCGUUUUAUGAAAUCAAACCGCCUGCAUUGCUUCCUUCCCUCUGAGGAGAAUAGAAACUGUGUUUGCUGCUCUGUCACUGGUGAAAACUGUAGAGCAACUAGUACUAUAAGAAAGGAUCGAACUAGUAAAGUGUCCCUACUCUUUCUGUCAGUCAGCACUCAGCACUGAAGAAUGCCUACUCCUGCCUUCAUCACAUGACCUGUUGCGUCCAGUUGGUACGUGGGAGUACAUGGCAAGCCCUGCAUUACACCGAGGAAUUCCAUUAAGGCUACUGUUGGAAGAUGCCAUCGCCGUCAGAUGCGGCUCUCGAGGAAAGUCUCAACAAAGUUUCCAAAUGGGAUCGGCAGGUAAAGAGUAAUGCUAGUGUGACAGUGUCAAUGUCAAUGUGGUCCAUGGAGGGAGGGAGAGAGAGAGAGAGAGAGAGAGAGAGAGAGAGAGAGAGAGAGAGAGAGAGAGAGAUGUGAAUCUGCACGCACAGUGAAGUUUUAUGGCACAUGAAUCGCAGGGCACAGUGAAGGAUCAGUUUGCUUACACUGCCUGCAUGCAUGCAGUGCAGCCAGGCACACACACACAGCCGCAUUGAUGACCCCCACCAUUGAAGGCCGUGGCAGCAGGAAUUUGGUGGUAGCCAUUUGCUGCCUUCAUGAGCUUUGGCUGAUGCUGGUUCUGGCUGUGACGAUGCGCGGCACAUUUUAGCUUCGCUUGCAAAGGAGGCCCACCAUUCAGCUGAGAAACUGGCUUGCGGGGGUCCAGCACAGCUCUGGUCCCAAGCCCCAACAUGAGACAAGCCUUCUUCAUGUGCCAAUACCUGCAUAUGCAGCUGAAUUUUUUUCCGUUCACAGCUUGCAACGGUGUCCGGAAUUUACCAGAUGUUUAUUUCUGAAUUUACCAGCUGGUUUCCAUAGGCUGUUGCCAUGCUGCAUAAAAACCCCAAACUAAUGCAGAGCAACACAACUGGAUUGGAAUGGAACACCAAUCUCUUUUUAGGUGCUAGGGUACUACACUUGACUUUAGUAUAAACAUUCCAGCCUAAGAUGUACAUAUAUCGGCCCAGGAAGCAGACAUGCUCGCUUGCUCUGCGAAGGGGCCAAACGAACGAACACUAACUAGCAUAUGUCUGCCAAAGGAAAUGCGUCAGCAGGGGAAGAGGAUAGGGCAUCCAUCCCGCCGCAGCUUGUUGUCGGAGAGGUCCAGCUUGCUCAUCUUCUCCUCGCACCACAGCAGCUGCUCCUUGCUCAGCUUGGCCAUUCUCAGCACCCUCGACACCACUUUGAUGUCCGUCAGGGCAAACAGCAGCUGCACUUCCUCCAUUGUGGUCGGCCAGGUCUUGCUCUUCCAUCCCUUUUUCUUCUUGAACAGCUCUUUCACCUUCAUCUCCUUCUGCGGAUUUGGAGAUAUAUAUAUACGCAUUAGAAAGGAAAAAACAGUAUCACGUGAACGCUUCAACUGCCCAUAUGCUGACAGCAACUACCAUACCCGCAAGGAUAUGCUUCAAAAGUUCAUUUCAUAUUCAAUGAACGUCACAGGUGCGUUAGGAAAAAUGCAUUCUACUGAUAGGUGGAUUUUAAUAGUAUUAUCAUUCAACAAAGAGAUCAUAUAUUUAACCAACACAAUGAAAGGUAGAGACAAGGAACUGAAAAAAUACCCGGUAAUAAACUGAACUGAUUUUUAAACCCUAAGAGUUAUUAAGUCUAACCUUAUCCAGAGAGGAUUGAACUUGCUGAAUCGAACUUCCAGUAUGGCCAUGAACGCCCAUGAGGACACUGCUCUUUUUCUUGUCCUUCUUCAGGAAAACACGAAAAGUUAAGAUACACUCCUCUAAUAAUUUCAUGAGGUCAGGUGCCAAGAUUGGUUCCGUCUGGUCUUCAGCAUUAUCUUUCCCGUCUGCAACUGAAUAGACAAAAAAGGAACAAAAAGCGAUGACAUAUCAAAAUGCGUAUAGCAGCAAGUGUACAGAGAGAUGCCAAAAGUAUGUUAUACAAGCAGUGGUAGGAGGGUACUGUGACAGUCAGGAUGCAAAGAUAGAAAAAAUAGCUCUAAAAUAUAAGCACAACAUAACAGACAAAAGCUUACUUCUCCAUAUCAAGGAAACGGAACUACGAUGCAGCAAAAAUAGAAACAUUAAGAGUAUUGCACUCAGGACUUGCCUUACUGGAUGAUCAAAUUAAAAUCAGAUCAAAGGAUUUUGCUACGGGAUUUUACACACAUUGCACAUAAGCACAUUACAUCAGUAAGAAUCUAUCGCUCAUUUAGCAAAAGCAUUAUAUGGAAGUAAAAUACUUUGUUCCAACUAACACAUUAGCUGCAGCAUCUACUUAAUAGAACUUUUAACCAAGUCCUGCAGCCAGUCCAGACUGACAAAAUUCUUGGAAUUUAUAUGCAAUCAAUGAGGAAGUUCAUGGGCAUGGCAAUUGACAAAUCUUAAAUUUGCAGGUACAGCUCCUAAACUUCUCUUGGCCACUUAGUCAUACGCUGAGCAUAUAUAUGGAUCUUAAAAGUAGGCAACAUGUGGCUCUUAGGGUUCAAGUGUUUCCAUCAUCCAAGUUAUUGAAUGAUGUUACAAAACUGACUGGCCACAGAUGAAUGCGAAACAGAAAAGAACCCAGAUUCACCAACCGUACAUUAUCAACCAUUAAUGGUGCCAGUGUACAGAAGAUUUAAUUGGCUUGUAGCAUGUGCAUUAUGUGUACGCCAUUCAAUGAUAAUCUACUUACUGUCCUAUUCACCUAGUAGUGGCCAAAGAGAACCACACUCAAAAUAACGCAAAGGGACCCAGUAUGAUCUCAUUUGAUAUGACAAAUACAAUCCAUGUGUGUAUAAGUAUAAACAAGAUGUCUGAGAUCUACCAACCAUUCCCCUACAACAUAGUAAAGCUUAACAAUUUCCACCAUGAUUAAGACUGUAGGGAAGUAAGAAUAACUGAAGCUGUUGCAAAUUAGCUUGUACUUAUGGGGGACAUAUUUCCAUGUAUAGAACAGCAUACACAUAGCAAUUAUCAACAGUAGGAAUCAUGCAGCCUCACAACAAUAUGAGAAUUAUCUCGCUACCCACAUUGUCUCGUACAAGCAUGAGCUUUAUCACGCCAUUUUUUCAGAUACAACUUCCUGGAUAUCAACAUGGCUCCCAAAGUGAUCUUUGACCAGUAAAUUCCACUGUACUAUAUUUAUAACAAACGAAAUUUUAGAGUUACUUCUCAAGACCGAAUUUACGCCUGUCGCAAACAAUACCAAAUGACAGUGUAUGUUAUUCAUGUAUCCAAACUAAACAGUUGAACAGAUAUUGGGAACCAAAUUUUGACUGAACGAAACCCCAAACUGCAUCCAUUUGGGCUAGAGGAAGUGCUAGGAAACAAUUAUAACCAUAUACCAAUAUUCUUAUGGUGGUAAGGUGUCCCAAGGCAAGCACUGACCACCUUGAUGCCUAAGCGCCUAAGGUGGUUAAAAUUCUAUGGUGUUGCCUAAGCGUCCAAAGCGGGAUGCCUUAAAAACAAUGCCAUAUGCACCUUCUUAUUUGAAAAUAAGUGGCAUUUGAAACCGAAACUAUUAGGCAUGCUUUCACCGUAAGUGACAUUUAAGAUAUGACCUAUUCACUGAAACAUCCAAGCUGUUACUCUAGUACCGACUAUACCAACAAAUGCACAUCAGAACAGUGUUAGAUCAUAUUGGACAUCUGAGUUGUUCUCCGUCUUAGUUUACUUACUCAUACCCAAUGUAUCCACAAACCAUUGUGUGCAUUCACUGCCGGUAUUUUCAAAAUACAUCUUUCUGUUACAUCUUAGUACCACGUUCAUGUAUGAAAGGGCAAUACCAGCCUACAUAAUCAGAUAGAAUGUACUUACUAACGUACUCCCUUUGUAAAGAAAUAUAAGAUCAUUUAGAUCACUAAGAAAAAAAAACAAUUUGAUAUAAGAUGUAUCGGUAAAAACAGAGUUCAUCUUUCAGGUACAUGACAAAAUAAAAACCAAUACAGCAAACAAGUAAAAUUGCCAUGAUGUCACAACAUACUAUAUAUGGUAUCUUCAAUGCUAUUCAUUCCCAAGCCGUCAGGGUAGCUAUCAAACUCCUUGGUGAAAGUGAAAUGAAUGACCUCGCUCUUGUCUCAGUCCAGAGCUCACAGGAGUCCCGUCGAUGGCCUUAUGAGAUUCACAUGGACCAUUCGGUGGCUCCAAAACGUGCACAAAGUCAGCAUGAAACAAGCUGGACCCAGUAUGGAGAUUGGGUGAGUCUGCAAAGCUGGUAGGCGGGGGACCUUACAAGUAGAUUUGAAAGAGACAAAACAAACUGAGCUAACAAAGUGCAACGAGGGGAGAGGGUAACUGGCGCAACUAGAGCCAUCGAAUCGAGAUUGUGGGCAGAGAUUAGAAAUUAUAGAUUGUCAACUUUGGCAUUUAAGUGGAAGCUAGCUUUGAUCGCCCCUGCAGCAUUAGAUCUUGGAGGGACGGCUGAGAAAAGGAAGGCUCAAAGGAUAUUAGUGUUGUCCCAUAUUGGAAGUUCCGUGUGCAGUAUGAACCCUAUAAGUCCAAAUCCCGAUGGUUUUGGACGUAUCUAUGGCGACAUCCACCCCUGCAAUAAGGAAUCCUCAAUCAUACCCACCCCCGAUCCGGAUCCCAGUCGUCUAGUUUCGUCACACGGCCCCUGCCUCAUGGACGGUUUAGGCCUUGUGUCAAGUAAACAUAGGCAGUAGUACUUCUAAAUCUGCAAUGUACUUAUGUCUUGUGAUGUAUUCCAAUGGCAAACAAUUAUGUAAUGCACAUAGUCGAUCAUGAUGUGUAUUUACGACUGUUAGAGCUUGUCACUGCCCACUACAUAUCUCAGAACUCAGAAGGCUAAGUGUGCUUUGUUGGU
rnacentral:lncRNA from 1 species